UACGUAGGGGGCUAGCGUUGUCCGAAAUCAUUGGGCGUAAAGCGCGCGUAGGCGGCCCGGUAAGUCCGCUGUAAAAGUCAAAGGCUCAACCUUUGAAUGUCAGUGGAUACUGCCGGGCUAGAGUCCGGAAGAGGCGAGUGGAACUCCUGGUGUAGCGGUGGAAUGCGCAGAUAUCAGGAAGAACACCGACGGCGAAGGCAGCUCGCUGGGACGGUACUGACGCUGAGGCGCGAAAGCGUGGGGAGCGAACAGG
rnacentral:rRNA from 1 species